CGGGUGAGUAACGCGUAAAGAACUUGCCUCAUAGUUUGGGACAACAUCUGGAAACGGAUGCUAAUACCGGAUAUUAUGCUUUCUUCGCAUGGAGGAAGUAUGAAAGCUAUAUGCGCUAUGAGAGAGCUUUGCGUCCCAUUAGCUAGUUGGUGAGGUAACGGCCCACCAAGGCGAUGAUGGGUAGCCGGCCUGAGAGGGUGAACGGCCACAAGGGGACUGAGACACGGCCCUUACUCCUACGGGAGGCAGCAGAC
rnacentral:rRNA from 1 species